rnacentral:rRNA from 1 species
AUGGAGACUCUGUCCACGUCAUCGAGACGCCGCAGCCCAACUCAAGUGUUAAGUUCAGCAUGGAGGCAGCCCUGCAGGAGCUGCAGAGCAGCGGGUUGCACUCGGACGAUGCCGGGAUCGGGGCUGCGGAAGCCAGGAAGGCCGACCUCAUGGCUAAGAAGGCCAAGCUGGACGAGACCCUGGCUGCAGCCCGCCAGUUCAGAGCACUGCUUUGGAAGUAGCUCAAGAAAGCCUUCACGUCAGAGUCUUGUUUAG